GAAAAAAUUCCGAAAAACGGAAUGCAGAACCUCUCUAGCUCUAUGUGAGUAUGUCAUUUAGAUACUACUUCGUGCGAUAGCGGUGGUACCAUUUAUCCACUCUAACUUUUUGGCGAUGGCUUGCGAAUAGAGACAGCCAAAAGCACGAUUUCUGCUCGCUAGCUGUGCUCCGCAUUUCAUUAGAACAUUGUUGAAAAGCAACACACAAGAAGGUUUGAACAGUGCGGGUUGCAGCUUCAGCCUUCUCUCCCUUGCUUUCGGCUUGCGACAGAGACUGCGGGUCGCGCUGUGUUCACGUUGAUUGACCAGUGAGCGCUGCACACAAGCUAGCUACAGAGAUGGCGGAGCUCAACAUGCUACCUACAGCGAUGGUGGAGAUCUGCGGGGAGAAGUUCUAUGAACUACACAUGGGCUGUCCAGCUACAAAUUGUCUCAACGUAUCCAACCGUUAUGUGGUCCAAGGGAUUUGGAUAAGCAAAGAUUGCCAAGGAUUGAUGCAUAUUGGACAGAAGGGCAACUUGUGCUGCAAUCACCACAGCGCAACGCAUCCCUGUGUCUACGGCCCACUGAAUGGCUUCAGAUUCGACUGUUCCCUGCGCAGUCAGGAUUCGCCUCAUAGCCACCAGGAGCCCUUCGUUGAGGGUAAUCGCCAUACAUUCUGUCACGCAUUAGGUAGUGGGUUUGCAAUGUCUUACUUAGGUUCUCUGGAUGAUGCGUGGGUGAAGGAACUGCUAGCGGCUAUUGAUAAACAAUUUUCUCCGUCUGCAUCUUUACAGCGAACCGUACGUAUGACACUAGGGUUUGUGCCGAAGCCAAAAAAAUAGUGUCGUCCGGUCUGUCUUGCUUCAUGAUCGCGUAACUUCCCCUCUUUUGCUUAUCUCUGAUAACAUGAGCCUCCCAAGUUGGGUGGUCGUUGUUUCGCGUUUCCGAAGUGAGCUGUGGCCGUCCUGUGCCGUGGUCCUUCGUCCUUCAUCACCAUCUUGUCAUAGCUAACAUUCUUAGUUCGCUGUGAUAUUUAGCUUGUUUUCGUCUAGAGUGCACUCACCUUCCCCUUUCUUACGUUACUUCAUAACUUAGAACCUUUCAAGUUGGAAGGCUGCUGGUUUGCGCAUUCUAGACGUGAUGCAGCUAAGCAUCACGUCAUUGAAUGUCAUGAUCUCAUUAGUCAGUUUUUGUGCUAAUUGUUGCACAUUUUUGACUCAACAGUAUUCUGCUUAUAACCGUUAGUGUUGGAGAAAAUGGAUAACUUGUAAACUUUUGGUCCUCUUUUUGAGUUUCCUAUGUAAUCGGAUAUGGCGAAGUGCGAAUUAUUCUAAAAGCUGUGAUGUGGAAAUGAUUGUUUUGAAUACGAGGAAACACACACACCACACACAAACACCACACACACACACACACACACACACACACACACACGCGUGCGCGCACACACACACAUUCUACGUACAUGUACUUGAAGUACAUUGUACCCACCGUAGUGUUAGUACUCCCUUCGUACGUUCUUAUGUACUUACAAGUAGAUAAAAAAUAUAUUUAAAAUUUUACCUCCCUUAUAUUUCUCAAUAGUAGAGGGUACACGCUCUGAGCUUUGAUCCCAGACUUGAAUUAUAUUUUGGUUUGGUGCAUAAUUCUGCUACACCUUACCAGCACAGCUUGUCAUUGUUGUCAAUACCUUCAUUUAUGACUGAAUCUUGCGAUUUAGCUCGUUUUGUCAGUUAGUAUAUUCAGGUCUGGUAUACUUGUGGAAUUUGAUAACCCAA